UCCUGAGGAAGGCUCGUCCGCUCAGGGUUAGUCGGGACCUAAGCCGAGGCCGAAAGGCGUAGGCGAUGGACAACAGGUUGAUAUUCCUGUACCACCUCGUAUUCGUUUGAACGAUGGGGGGACGCAGAAAGGUAGGGUGAGCGCGCCGCUGGCUGUGCGCGUCGAAGCAUGCGAGGCUGGAACAUAGGCAAAUCCGUGUUCCAUAAGGCUGAGCUGUGACCGUGAAGGACCUUCGGGUCCGAAAUCCCUGAUCCUCCGCUGCCGAGAAAAGCCUCUAGUGAGAAUACAGGUGCCCGUACCGCAAACCGACACAGGUAGGCGAGAAGAGAAUUCUAAGACGCUCGGGAGAACUCUCGUUAAGGAACUCGGCAAAAUGACCCCGUAACUUCGGGAGAAGGGGUGCUCUAGUAGGGUUAACCGCCCGAGAGAGCCGCAGUGAAAGGAUCCAAGCGACUGUUUAGCAAAAACACAGGUCUCUGCGAAGCCGUAAGGCGA
rnacentral:rRNA from 1 species